AUCACUUCUCGGCCUUUUGGCUAAGAUCAAGUGUAUGUAUUUGUGUCUAAAUAUAUAUAUAUAUAUAUAUAUAUAUAUAUGCUUACAUGAAUGAACAUGU
rnacentral:snRNA from 1 species